CUUUCUCCGCCGGCGACCGGCGCACGGGUGAGUAACACGUAUGCAACCUGCCCCUGUCAGGGGGACAACCCGCCGAAAGGCGGGCUAAACCCGCGUACAUGCCACCGGGCAUCCCGGAGGCAGGAAAGGCUUCGGCCGGACAGGGAUGGGCAUGCGGCGCAUUAGGCAGUAGGCGGGGUAACGGCCCACCUAACCGACGAUGCGUAGGGGUUCUGAGAGGAAGGUCCCCCACACUGGUACUGAGACGCGGACCAGACUCCUACGGAAGGCAGCAG
rnacentral:rRNA from 1 species